rnacentral:rRNA from 1 species
CAGCCGCCGCGGUAAUACGAACCGUCCGAACGUUAUUCGGAAUUACUGGGCUUAAAGCGCGUGUAGGCGGCUGGGCACGUCCGGUGCUGAAAUCCCCCGGCUUAACCGGGGAGGGUCAUUGGAAACUGGGAAACUUGAGUGCAGAAGAGGAGAGUGGAAUUCCACGUGUAGCGGUGAAAUGCGUAGAGAUGUGGAGGAACACCAGUGGCGAAGGCGACUCUCUGGUCUGUAACUGACGCUGAGGAGCGAAAGCGUGGGGAGCGAACAGGAUUAGAGACCCCCGUAGUCCCUGUCUCUUAUU